rnacentral:tRNA from 1 species
CCAGGACCGUAUCGAGACGGUCCGCGGCUUCGGCUACAAACUGAAGGCCUGAGCGGACAGGGGUAUGCGGGGGAUGUUGCGGCACCUGGUUCCGGCCC